ACCUGCGGGGCGGCUCCCUGGGCCGGCUCCCGCUGCCAUUGGCCUGGCGCUGCUUCCCGCCUCCUUUGAAAGCUUGGGAAGGGCGGGCGGCAGUAGUGCCUCGGCAGUCGGGCAGCAGGGUCGGGCCAGGAGCGCUGGAGGCCGCAGAUGAUUCAGCUCUAGAGGAGAGAUUUGUCUUCACGAUUUCCUUUGAAAGCACAAUGGACAUAUUUUAGAGUUUUACAGAAAUCAGAAAUCAUCUAGGAACAAGAACAUUGGACUUUAAGGAAUAACAGAGUUCAGAGAGCCUGGAAAUUGGUCACUGAAAAACCUGACUUCGCCACACAACUUGGAAAUGAAUACCAUUGAGACAGCAAAGCUUGAAGAGCAUAUGGAGGGGCAAACGAAUGAAACUUCUAAUGGCUACUCACGACCUACUCUCUCAGUCAGUGAAGAGAACAAAAAUGGCACUAACAAACCAAAGGGCUUGUCUAAUGGCUUGCGGAAAACAGCAAAGAAAUAUCCUGAUUACAUCCAGAUUUCUAUGCCUGCUGAGGCUAGGAACAAAUUUCCUCUGGAGUGGUGGAAAACAGGCAUUGCCUUUGUCUACGCUCUCUUCAACUUGAUUCUAACAACUGUCAUGAUCACUGUGGUCCAUGAGAGAGUACCUCCAAAGGAGCUAAGCCCUCCCUUGCCUGACAAAUUUUUUGAUUACAUUGAUCGUGUGAAAUGGGCUUUUUCUGUAUCAGAAAUAAACGGAAUGAUACUGCUUGGAUUAUGGAUAUGCCAGUGGUUGUUUCUUAGAUACAAAUCAAUAGUGGGACGCAGGUUCUUUUUUAUAAUAGGAACUUUGUAUCUGUACCGCUGUAUUACUAUGUAUGUUACCACCUUACCUGUGCCUGGGAUGCAUUUUCAGUGUGCACCAAAGUUGAAUGGAGAUUCUCAGGCAAAGGUUCAGAGAAUCCUGCGACUGAUUUCUGGUGGUGGUCUAUCCAUAACUGGAUCACACAUCCUGUGUGGAGACUUCCUGUUUAGUGGACACACUGUGGUAUUAACGCUGGUCUACCUGUUCAUCAAAGAGUAUUCACCACGUCAUUUCUGGUGGUAUCACUUGAUCUGCUGGCUAAUGAGUGCUGCUGGUAUCAUUUGUAUCCUUGUUGCUCAUGAACACUAUACUGUAGACGUCAUCAUUGCUUAUUAUAUCACCACACGGCUCUUUUGGUGGUACCACUCAAUGGCUAAUGAAAAGACUUUAAAGGUUUCUUCGCAGACGAAUUUUCUCUCUCGAGCAUGGUGGUAUCCGAUAUUUUAUUUCUUCGAGAAGAAUGUGCAAGGCUCUGUUCCUUGCAGCUUUUCCUGGCCAAUAUCUUGGCCUCCCAGCUGCUUCAAAUCUUCAUGCAAAAAGUAUUCACGGGUUCAGAAGACAGGAGAGGACAAUGAAAAAUCUACCUGAAGAAACGAAGGAAAGCUUUUGCUCUGUAGUUUUUUUCUGUUCUCUUUUGUUUUGUUUUUUACCAAAACAUUAAUGCUGUAACCAAAGUUCUUAAGAGGACUCUACUGUAACUGAAGAAGUGGACCAAGCUUCUGUGCAAUUGAUUGAAGAGACAAUUAUAGACACAUAUAUAUUGCCAUUUCAGAUGUUUUCUUAUCAUCAGGCUGUACAGACCUAUUCUACUCCUCAGUGCUAAUGAAAUGCACCACUGAUGGGAUUUUUUUUUAUUAAAAAAAAUGGAGCAGGACUUUGCUUUACUAACGAGAUAGAGGUGCCAAAGACUACAGUAACACUUUCAUUACUAACUAUCACUCAUCCACAGAAGCACCCAAAAGUCUCAUCUUCAGAGUUCUGGAGUGCAUAAGGGCAAAAACAUGCUCAAUUGUAAAGGCACGAUAUUGGCGUAUCAAGGAGAGCAUGUGUGAGAUGUGAAAAAGAUGAGUUCUGGCAGCUUCGUGAAGUCAGGGUCAUACCAAGGAACCUGAAAGUAAAAGCAGAAAUAAUGGUUUGAUGGCUGAUGUUCUCGUGCUUUCCAUGUGACUUUGAGAACUGUAAACACUUCUGUAAAAACACUGCAGGAGACUUUGCUUUUAACUGCAACAUGUUUUCAUACUCAUUGGCUGACAGCUUUUCUUGCAUGACUUCUCCUAGGCUGAAUCUGUAGUUCUGUACAUAGGUUGGAGCUAUAUAUCCAACCUUGGAAAAAUUAGGCAAGAAAAACUGUUGGCUGCUGAGGAACCCUACCUGGUAAUGUAGGAAUGCUGUAAUGCGUGCACGAUAAGGAGCUAAUAAAUGGCAGGGUUUUAUGGCUUUAGGGUCCAGUUCUGCAAACACUGCACAGCAUAAUGCUACAACAACAAAUGAUAAUACUUAAAGACCUUUUGUGCUGUAGUUUCCACUAAUGUUUGCAAACUGGGCCUCAUUUUUACAUAAAUUGUUCACAAUUAGCAAGAGUUGACUUUUAUCUUGUGAAACUUUCAGGAUGACACUUUAUAGCUGAUGUCAGCUAUUUUGGUUAGGUAACUGUGAGUGUUGUGGUUUGCUGUAUGCGUGCAAGAGAGACUUAGAGCUAGAGUUGUGAUUUGUAAGAUAUUGCAAUCUGUUCACUAUAUUAAAAAAAAAGAAAAACAAACCCCAAAAAACCCUAUUGCACUAGCUGUACUUUAAAAAAGCAAUAACAUGAGCAUCUUUUAGCUUUUGUCUCCAAAGGUGCUAUCUGUCAUGAUCAUUUGCAUUGUUGGCCAUGAAUUUGGUAAAAACAUGUUAAAGAAGUUGUCUUAUGUCAUUCAGUUGGCACAUACAAGUAGAAAUUUUUUGUGGUCAGCCUGUGUACUGACAAAUGCAAUACUUUGGACUACUUACAUGACCACCCAUACCUUUAAAAAUCAGAAACCUAUAUCCAUUUAUGGUGCUAAUGAUCUCAAAUAUUAUUGGUAUUCUCUUUGGUAUUCUCUUCUUACCCAUGAACACUAAGGAAAGCUGUUUUGACAUCUUUUCAAUAAAGCAAAAUUUCUCUACAUUUUGAGCCUGUUCCAGAUGCUUUUAAUAUAAAUGACCCUUUUCUAUUUCUAUUUUAUAUAAAAUCUGCAAACAAAGUAAGUAUUUUAAUGCAGGAAAACAUUAGAAGUGUAUAUGUUGGUCUAAACUACAUGUCCAAGUCUAAGUUUUCAUACAUUCUUAAGAUAGCUAGUCUUCUGAAACUCAGUCUGAAAUACAAGAGUUGUGUUGGCAGGAUUAAGGUGCAAGCUAGUAGUUUAAAGAAAAUCGUCCUCUGGCUUCAUCAUCAUUGUUGAAGCCUCAGAGACAGAGAGGAUGUGAAAUGCACAAAGCUGCAGCAGGAGAACACCAAUUAUGCAGGGUAGAUCCACCUUUUGCUGAAACUUCAAAAAAACAAACUUGUGAAGGAACAUGACCAUGUAACCAUAUCUAAAGAACAGAAUUGAAAUUUGAUGUAAUUAUCAAGGCUGUUCAUUGUGGGACAUUAUAAAAACCCAUGAAAGGAUGUUAAACUAGAUUAUUUAGAUUGUGGAACAGCAAUGGAACUUUCUAGCUUUGUUUGAAAGCUUCACAAGCAACGUUCUCUUAAGACAAAAAACUCUUGUGCCUUCUGUUGCAGAAGUUAUUGUUCUCUUCCCUCCCUGCCUUUGGUUAUGAAUUUUUUUGUAUAUAAUGAAGGACGAUGCACUUCCCAAUCUUUUCAGGAGGCAUUUUUGGGCAGCAGUACCUACACUUUCUACCCAUGGAGAAUACCAAGACUCUGUUUCUUUCUAAAGGCCCCUUCCAUGUCAACUUGCAGUUGUAAAAGUGCCUGCCUGUGACACAUACGGCAAGCCUACUGUAAUCAGCUCUGAAAUAAAUAUACUGUAUUUGAUAUGGACACGUGAACCUGGCAGAGUGGAUGCCAUGUCCAGGUACACCCUGGUGAGUCAGCAGGGUGCAGCCUGGAACACUGCAGCACAUUCCUCUGCUCUAAAGUAGUUGUGCUCUGAGGUUUUGGUCCCUAAACUGUUCUCUUUCAUAUACUGUAAUAAGUUCUCUUGAAUCACAUACACCUUGCAUGUCAAGGAAUAUGGGCUUGUAAAAGAUCUAUUUUAUGGAACUUCUGUGUCAAUGCAAAGAAUAUUCCAUGGCUAAAGUAACUUAAUUUAAAGAAACCCGUCAUCUGAGAUAAAAUCAGGGUGAGCUGCUGGGGGUUUUCUUGAGUGAAGAGGGAUAAUCUAGUAGCAAUAGUCUAGAUUGUGUCUUGCUACUUGUCUCAGUGCCUGCUUUAAUAGUAGGACACUUGGAAGAGCCAAAGAUAGAACAAAGUCAUCCGUAACAGUCCUAAGCCACGUUGAAAUAUAACUUUCCUAUCUCUUAAUUACUAGAUACUUCAGAGAAAAAGGGCUUUUUUUUUUUUUUAAUUUACCAAAAAAAAAGUGCAAUAUUUACAGAAAUAGAAAGAGAUAAAUGGCUGCAGGUUUGAAUGCCCUGCAAAAAACAAAGCCUUUGCGAGCAUGUGACAUGCACUUGACUGUGUUUUUUUUAGCCUUAGCAUUUGCUCUGUUACAAAAACAUGUUUCAGUGCACUAGUCUAACUCAGAGAUUUCAAAUAUUUUCAAUAUUCUUUUGGCAAGGAGAGUGUUUUUUAAUGAAUAAAGUGCCUGUGGAAAUAAAAAUCCAAAAGUUGCCUGCAAAUGUAAAUAAAGCAUAUAAAACCACCGCCCAUACUUGAAGAGAAUGGGUGCUAACUCAGUAACUGUAGUAACUCAAUAGCUGCUCAAUAGUCAUAAACAUUGAUAGGAUUCAAAGUUCGAGAAAAGAAUAUUAUGUUUCUUUUGAGAGUUUACUGUGUUAAUUAAAUUUCUACUGUUUCUGCUUGGGCCUUAACUCUGUAACUUAGUUAUCUUUAAAGAGAAAUAAGUUCCUUUGAACUAUUCCAUUUCAAAUGCUUGUUUUAAUGACAGUCUUUACUCUGAUGGGGAUUUUUGUUUGUUACAUGGAGGGGUUUUUUACCUGUUAAAAGUAAAGUCACCAAAUGCUUUGAUUACUCAAUUUGAGGUAAAAGAGUUUGAAGAAUGGUUUUUCCUUAAAUGCAGAAUUCAAGGGAGGGUGGGUUUUUAUUACACUGCUACUAGGACUGAGGAGGAAUGAUUUCCAUGGGAAGCAUUAUAGUGCUAAAACUUGUAUAUGUAGUUAUUUGGGGUAAGCAGAAUAUUAGUACAUGCGUAUUGUUUUGCUGUUAAUUUUAUGCUCUAUAAAGAGGCUAUUUAGUACUAAUUUAAAUUGAAAAGUGGAUUUUAAUGUUGCAAUAGCUAUUAUUUUAACGUGAAACAUCUAUUUAUGUACUGAUAUGCUAGAGCAAAAUAUACAUUUGAUCAUUAACUUAAUUUAAAAGUAUGAAAGUAAUCUUAUUUUUAUCAAAAUUAAUGUGGAAUUUAAUCUCUGGACAAGCUUGAAUUGGUCAUAGACCACUGAAACCAAUCUUUCAAUUGCAUACAGAAGGAAGGCAGGCUUUUUUUUUUUUUUAUCUAGUGUAACUUCUUGACUAGACUAAGAGGGAAGGGAGACUAGAUUACUGUUCUAUAAAGAAAAUGGGCAAAACCAGUAGUGUGUUUCAGCUGUGCUGAAUAGCUUAGCUUCUUAUUUUCACACUGUAGAAUUUAAAAUUUUCUUGAGACUCAGAUUUAAGAUGUCUUUAGUUCAGCUAAAUUUUCACCUGUUCUUUUUAUAUUUUUUCUAGUAGUUGCAUUUUAUUGGUGUACGUUGUAAUUAACCACUGAAUUUCUGCCAAAUAUAUAAAAAAAUGCAUUCUGUUCUGCUAAUUUAAAUCUAUGUUCUUAGUUUAAUCCAUGGCUAGUAAAAUGUCCAUUUGCUGUUUAGAUUAAAGAGACGGUUGCCUUAAUUGUUUGGAGGAAAGCUGACCUUGACCAUUUGAAGCUUUAUGUAUUUCUAAAAUUCCUGUAACUUCUGUAAAAUUGCAAUAAAACCUUUUUAAUACAGUUCAG